rnacentral:sRNA from 1 species
AUUGCCAUACCAGGCAGUGAUGUUAAAACUUAAAAUAUUGCAGAUGUGAGCGUGAUAAAACAUAGCCAAGGCCCCUUCACUAACAUUCAACGAGGACAGCUUUCUCAGUAAUCGUAAUCUUUGCUGCCCUUUUUUGAUGGUAUAAUCAGUAUUUGCAGUAACAUUUAGUUUAUUGUCUAGGAUAGUUCCAAGAGGUCACUGUGAUCUUAAGACUAGGGGAGUUGCCUCUUUGCUUUGAUGUACAAAAAAAACAAAAACAACUAUAUGUUUUAAAUCUUAAAAAAGAAAGAAGCAUAUUUGAAGAGAAGAACCUCGAAAUCACUGCAAUAUAUCUCAAUACUGGAGGACAUCUGGUGCAAAGCCGUUGUCCGCAGAGACUUCAAAAACAAAGAAUGUCAAUGUUGCAGUGAAGGAGAGCUAGGAUCAUGCUUAACUUUUCACCUCUGACACGCUGUCCGCUUCUUUCCAAACAUAAUUUUGCAAAUAGUGCUAUUAGAGCAUGGAAUGGGUUGCCUGAGCCAGCCAGG